UAAUACGUAGGGGGCAAGCGUUGUCCGGAUUUACUGGGCGUAAAGCGCGUGUAGGCGGCCACGCAGGUCCGUUGUGAAAACUGGAGGCUCAACCUCCAGACGUCGACGGAAACCGUGUGGCUAGAGUCCGGAAGAGGAGAGUGGAAUUUCUGGUGUAGCGGUGAAAUGCGCAGAUAUCAGGAAGAACACCAAUGGCGAAGGCAGCUCUCUGGGACGGUACUGACGCUGA
rnacentral:rRNA from 1 species